CUUCCCCAGGUACUGGGAGACCGAUGGGCAAACAUCUGUAGGUGGACAGAAGAACGCUGGGUUCAUUUACAAGACAUUCUUCUAAAAUGGCAGCGUUUCACUGAAGAACAGUGCCUUUUUAGUGCGUGGCUUUCAGAAAAAGAAGACUUAAUGAAGAAGAUUCAAACAAGUGGCUUUAAAGAUCAAAGUGAAAAGUUAUCAAGUUUUCAAGCAUGGCUGCUUUAAAAACAAAUCUGGAAAAGAAAAAGCAAACCAUGGAGAAACUCAGAUUACUCCAUCAAGAUCUUCUUUCAACACUGAAAAAUAAGUCAGUGACACAAAAGAUGAAAGCAUGGAUGGAAAAUAUUGUCCAACGUUGGGAUAAUUUAGUACAAAAAGUUGAAAAGACGUCAUCACAGGUAAAUGAUACCAAUUAUUAUACUAUUCAUUAUGCUCAGUAGUGUUGGAAACUGCAUCAAGAGAACAAUACUAUGACACUACAAAGGAUGACACUGAAUUUUUCCUUCCCAAGUGUUCACUUGAAUUAAAAACAUUACUACCUUGCAUGUCUUGAUAUUAGAGAAUUGGGAAGAAGAAGAAGUUUGUAGCUAGGGUCUUUAAUUCUGUAAAGGCUUCUUUUGUUAGUGCAAAUAGUGACCUAAUUAUUGGAUUUUCUGCCACAGACUGCUGAUUUC